rnacentral:RNase_P_RNA from 1 species
UGAGUUGGCUGGGUGAUCGCGGCAACAAUCGGCGUUGUGCAGUUCGCAGCGGUGGUGUUGUCGAGGAAAGUCCGGACUCCAUAGGGCAGGGUGGUUGCUAACAGCAACCCGGGGUGACCCGCGGGACAGUGCCACAGAAAACAGACCGCCACGCCUAUGCGUGGUAAGGGUGAAACGGUGGUGUAAGAGACCACCAGCGCUCUCGGUGACGGGAGCGGCUUGGUAAACCCCGCUCGGAGCAAGGUCAUAAGAGUCGCCAUUGGCGGCUUGCGCGGAUGUUUGAGGGCGGCCCGCCUGAGUUCGCGGGUAGACCGCAUGAGCUCGCUGGCAACAGCGAGCCUAGAUGGAUGAUCGCCGGCCGCGGCAGUGCCGUAAGGCGCCGCGGUGUCACAGAAUCCGGCUUACAGGCCAACUCAUCCG